GGUGCUGCCUGCCCAGGGGGCAGCAAGAACAAAGGCCCCGGGGAAAAAAGAAUAAAAAUGUUCCAAGGUCAACCAAAAAGUCUGACGGUACCAAAUGUUGGUGAGGAGGUGGAGCAACUAAGAUCCUCAGUCACCACCGCUAGGAGGAUACACAGAUUUGACCACCUUGGGAGGCUGUGUGGCAGCGCCCACUAAAUCUGAAGCUACCCCACCCUCUGCCCUGGGCUACGCACUCCUGGGUAUAUUCCCUGAAGAAACGCAGGCACCGGCACCCCAGGAGAUGCUACAAAGAGAUGGCUCGCAUCAGCGCAGCAGGAGAUGGAGGAACAGAAUAUUAUAUGGGGCUGGGCACAGUGGCUCACGCC
ensembl:lncRNA novel transcript, antisense to PAK4